UCCAAAUGUAAACAUGACCACCAUCUGAGUCAUUAUUUAAAAUUAUUCAAUUUCUAUUUUUAUUUCGUACAUUUUUGCUUAUCAUUGCUACAGAAUGGCAGGGAAAGCUACAAGCUUCGUUAUUGAGCUAGAAAAUGAAAAUGACAAUCCUUCUAAACCGGACGAAAGUGACGAUACAAAAUGUUUGAUGGUGGCUCUGAGGGCAAAGUACUGCAUGGAAAAUGAUGACGGGUAUAGAUUUGGAUAUUUUGGCGGAAAACCACCGAAAAAACGAACAAACUCGGAGGGUGAUGCGGAGCUUGCAUAUUUGACAAAUGUUUGUCUGAGUGGCAGCAACAUCAGAAGAUCUGGGUUAGAGAAAGAGAGUAUCAAGUCAUUGUGUCCAAAUGUUGUUGAUUUGGAUAUCUCAGGAAAUUUUCUGGACUCCUGGAAUGAAAUUUUACCACUGAUCCAGCAGUUGAAGAGCUUGAAGUUCCUAAAUAUUGCAAGGAAUAUGAUUACAAAGAACAAGGAUGUAUUGCAUGGCUGGACAGACACUUUGCCAAAUCUAGAGAACUUGGUGUUGAACAAGACAGGAGCUGAAUGGCAGGAGAUACUUCAUCUGGCAAAGUUGUUGCCGCAGCUGAAAGAGUUGCACCUUUGUGGAAACAACUACAAAGAAAUACCAGCAGGAAGACACCCCGGACUACAGAGUUUGGAAUGUCUUAGAAUGAAUGACAACGCUAUAGUCAGUUGGAGUGAAGUUUGGAAGCUACGUCUCCUACAAAAUCUGAAAUCGCUGAUCUUGUCUGGAAAUCCUUUAAUGGAUAUACAUUACCAUGAUGACGACGUUGGGGUGGACUGCUACUGUUCCUGUCACACAGCAAGCAGUCUCCGUGAAAACACUGUUGCCAAUAGCGACCAUGUUGAUGAAACAGCUAGUGUUUCUGAUAGCAGCCAAGUUAGUCAUGUAGAUGUUACAAAAAGUAUUGGCCAUGACAACACUGUUGCUGUUAGUGACCAUGUUGAUGACACAGCUAGCAUUGCCAAUAGCAGCCAUGAUCAGGACACUGCAAGUAAUCUCCAUGACAACAAGGUUGCCAUUAGUGAAUGUACUGAUGUAACAGCCUCUGUUACCUGUGACAACAAUGUUACUAUAAGCAAUAAUGUGGUUGAAACAUUUCAGGUUGAAGUUCGUCAAUACUGUGAAAAUAUUCUCAACUCUGUGAUCGAUGAGGUCAUCAGAAAUGAAAUUGUAAAGACAGAAGAGAUGUUAGUGAAUGGUGAAGAAGAUAACAGUACUAAACAAAAUGUAAAUGAUCAAAAUACAGUUUCUGGUGCAGGUAACCAGAAUCAAAUGAAUGUUGAUAAGGUUAGAUCAAUUGAGACAAAACCUGCUUCAACUGAUAGAUCUGAGAAAGAUUAUAUAGAACAGUUAAGCAGAGAAAUUGUGGAGAUAAUUCUUCGUAGAGCCCAUGGGUUUGUUAAAGAUGGAGUUGAUAAUGAAUCUGCUCCCAAUAGAAAUACUUCACCAGAAAAUGCAGAGAAUCCUCCUCCUGGGAAGGUUAACAUGGCUGAAGAUUCAUUAAAGGCAGAUAACUCUUGCUGUCUUUGUGAUGGAGAACCAAGUGGCCAGCAGCCGUUUAACUCCCUUGAAACACUCUGUCUCAGUGAGACCCAUAUUGGUAAAUGGAAACACCUAAGUGCACUGAGAGCGUUUCCUUCACUCAAGUCAGUCAGAAUUAAGAAUGUAAAGUUGGGAUCAAAACUUGAUGAUGAAGACAGAAGAAAAUUGUUCAUGGCAAGUUUACCAAAUAUCAAGUUACUCAAUGGAAGUGAGGUGACGCCUUCAGACAGAGAAAAAUCAGAGCGCUUUCUGUUGAGACAUUUCUCUGAGAAAAAGCUAAAACCUGAUGUAUAUCAUGUACUGGAACAAAAGCAUGGUAAAUUAGCUCCCCUUGUUGAUAUUGACAUCAGUAAGGGGUUAAUGGACUAUGUUAAUUUGAGCUUUGUGUAUCGUGGUGAAGUUGUGUUCACAGAUAUGGUGUGUGUUCGAGAAAAAUUUGGCACUCUGAGAAAAUUGAUUGCCACGAAAGUGAAGAAAAGCCUUGAGCAAAGUGUUUUAUUCCACAAACAUUGCAACAGUCGCCAUGAAGAAACGGUUGGGGAGUUGCAGGAAAUCAGAGGCGAUGGUCUUCCCAUGAGCAGGCUAGACAUUUUCGAUGGAGAUGAAAUCCAUAUUGAUGAGCAAACGCUAGAGAAAUGGCGUUUGGAUCCUCGCCAUUUCAAUAGACAAACAGGCGCUGCCGACAUCUGAUAAAAUCGAUAAUCGAUAGAGAUAUAGAGCACGAUGCGAUUCAUCUAGGCCGAGGAGUAAUUAAAUGUGUUCGGGUACAUAUUUCAUACAGUAGUCACACCAGGUAACAGGCGGAGAUUGGUGCAGGACGUUCGGGUACAAAAAUUUCAUACAGUAGCCACACUAGGUAACAGGCUGUGAUUGGUGCAGGACGUCCGGGUACAAUAUUUCAUACAGCUGCCACGCCAGGUAACAGGCUGAAAUUGGUGCAGGACAUUCGGGUACAAUAUUUCAUACACUAGCCGCACUAGGUAACAGGCUGUGAUUGGUACCGGACGUUCAGGAACAAUAUUUCAUACAGUAGCCGCACUAGGUAACAGGCUGAGAUUUGUGCAGGACUUUCGGGUACAAUAUUUCUUACAGUAGCCACACUACGUAACGGGCUGAGAUUGGUGCAGGACGUUCGGGUACAAUAUUUCAUACAGUAGCCACACCAGGUAACAGGCUGAGAUUAGAACAUGACGAUCGGGUACAAUAUUUCAUAAGUAGCUGUACUAGGUAGGACUAUAUUUCUUUGCGGAAGGACUGAUAAAGAACUCCAGAACAGCGUAGCAAAAACGUCCAUCGUUCAUGACAGGUUUUCUAGUCAUGGGUUAAACUUGAGAAAUACAGAGCUGUCAUUUCUGUUAUUUUGUUGUGGAAUUCACAGUUCAUGUUCAAAACUGCUUGUUCUUCUAUACAUCAAAAAUGAUACUGGGCCGACACAUACAUACUUCUAAACGUACAUAUCACCCGUGACUGAGUACAAACAAAUCAGUUGCAAAUACAAUGAAAAUCUGUUUCAUCAUACGCAUUGCUUUACCAGAACAUCGAAAAGUUCCGAAAAUAUAUUAAUUCUUUUUUUUUUUUCAAACGUUUUGGAGUUGUAUUUUUUAUUUGAUGAUUAAUCGAUUUUUUUUUCAAGAAAACGGUUAGUUAGUUUAAACAUAUUUUUUAUUUCUUUCGAUAAAGUUACAUAAUCAAAUACAUGUGCCAAAUACAUUUGUUAAAUGUUGGAUUGGAAAACAAGCAAGUAAAUGCUUAUAUUAAUUCCUUUCCAUGGUGGAGUUGGCCUAAUUAUCAUUGCACUUAUUCGACCGGAAAGUAAUGUAAACUAGUGAAAGUAGUUAUUAAUUGAAACUUCCGCAAAAAGGAUUUAUAUCAUUACGUUUACCGCAAAAACUAUUAUAAUAACUUUAUCAUUGUUAUUCAAUUGUGUAAGGUAAACUAAGAGAUGAGGUGAAUAUGAUAUAAAAAAGAAACAAAAUUGUGUGAACUGGUAUGGGUCAUGAUGUCACUCAAGCGAUAAAAGGAAUGCAAAAAACCACCAAGUAUGUCCCCGUCAUAUGUCAAAUCUUUUAGUUGCCGCUUUGUAGCUCUGGACACGUAGGACGAUUAGUUUGUUGGUUUCGUAUGCAAGAUGCUCGUCUCCAUGAAGAAGAUUAUUGAGUGUGAUACCACAUGGGAGAUCAGAUAAGUACCGUUGACGUGGGAGGUGAAACCUCGGACAAUGAAGGAAAAAGUGAAGCGGAGUUCCGACUGCACCACAUUCACACAGAGGAGAUUCAACAAUAUCUCUACGAUGAAGCUCAAAGUUUAGAGAACUGCAUCCGAGUCGUAAGCGAGUAUGCUGAAUUUGGUACUUACGUACCCCGAUGUUAAAGAGUGGUCUGGAGCUGUUCUUACAAAUGGAAAGUUUGCUUUUAAAUUCAGAAAGAGAGUAGGCGUUUUGGACAUCUGAAGAGAGCGCGUUCCACUGACGGAUUGUUGUAGGCAAAAAAGAACUUGCAUAAGACUGGGUGUUUGUAUGGAUCAAAGGUAGCUGUGAAUCGAACGGAGAUGGUAAGGUUGAAUAUGGCUGGGAAUGAGAUUUCGUAGAUACAUAGGAGUGAGGUUGUUUUUCAUCUUAUAGAACUGUAUUAGCCGAUGUUUUC
rnacentral:misc_RNA from 1 species